rnacentral:rRNA from 1 species
AGAGUUUGAUCCUGGCUCAGAUUGAACGCUGGCGGCAUGCCUAACACAUGCAAGUCGAACGGCAGCACAGUUUGUAGCAAUACGAAUGGGUGGCGAGUGGCGGACGGGUGCGUAAUACGUAGGGAUCUACCUUGAAGAGGGGGAUAACCCGGGGAAACUCGGGCUAAUACCGCAUAUAACUCUCCGGAGGAAAGCUUGGGCAACCAGGCACUUUAAGAGGAACCUACGUCCGAUUAGCUAGUUGGUGGGGUAAAGGCCUACCAAGGCGAUGAUCGGUAGCUGGUCUGAGAGGAUGAUCAGCCACACUGGGACUGAGACACGGCCCAGACUCCUACGGGAGGCAGCAGUGGGGAAUAUUGGACAAUGGGGGCAACCCUGAUCCAGCGAUGCCGCGUGUGUGAAGAAGGCCUUCGGGUUGUAAAGCACUUUAGGCGGGGAAGAAGGUAUUUAGUUGAAUAGGCUAGAUAUUUGACGGUACCCGCAGAAUAAGCACCGGCUAACUCUGUGCCAGCAGCCGCGGUAAUACAGAGGGUGCAAGCGUUAAUCGGAGUUAUUGGGCGUAAAGGGCGCGUAGGUGGUUAUAUAAGUGGGCUGUGAAAUCCCUGGGCUUAACCUAGGAAUAGCAGCUUAGACUGUAUAGCUGGAGUGCAGUAGAGGGUAGUGGAAUUUCCGGUGUAGCGGUGAAAUGCGUAGAGAUCGGAAGGAACACCAGUGGCGAAGGCGACUACCUGGACUGUAACUGACACUGAGGCGCGAAAGCGUGGGUAGCAAACAGGAUUAGAUACCCUAGUAGUCC